GCGAAAGACCAGCUGCGAAAUGCCCCGCAGCUGUAGCCAGUGCUAGAACAGAGUGCCUUGGAACCAGAAAUCAAUGCUCCUGAAAUGAACAAGUGGACAACUUAUUAGGCUCAGUCACUCCACACACCGUCCCCUGAUAACGAAUAGAUGAAGUACGCGCCGGAGAAAGGAGGCACUGGAGGAGGCCACACGUGCCCGCUCCUUGGCGGCGAGGCAGGGCAAUCCCGGGGGCACAGCCGGCCGCACGGGUGGCCCUGGGUAGGGCAGGGGCUGCAAGAAGGGGUUAGAUGGUGAUAAAAAGCAGCGGGUGCCCAGGAGAACGGCUCCACAAGUCAUCGAUAAAGGUGUCCGGCUUGCCGGCUCCUCUCCAGCAAGCGCGGCAGACAGGUUCGGCGAGCUCCCGUAACCGUGGCGUCUCUGCCUAGAAACAGCAGCGCUAAUUUUUGCAUUUCCACCGUCCGCGGGGAGGAAAAAAUACCUGUCCUCCCGCAAUGCAAAUCGCUACGCAAAUAGAUCGGCGGGCGCGCACGGAGCCGCCGCUGCCAGCCUGACCUCCCGGCGGGGAGUCAGCGGCCGGGAAUGAGCUCGGGCAGGCGGCAGCAGCCCGCCCAGGAAGCACACACCGCCCUGCGAACUGCUCGGCAGCCGCUCGCAACUCGCUGCCGGCUGGGGAAGGUCCGAGGGGGAGCCUGCGGCUCGCCUCCGAGGCCUUCGUGCAUCCCCGGAGAGCAGCGCCCCGGCGCUAAGUGCGAUUAACGUAACAGGCACUAAAAUAGGAGAGAGCGGCGCUGAAUUUAAUUUGCAGGCUUAAAAAAAAAAAGGGGGGGGGGAGGGAAAAAAUAAAACUUAACACUUGGAGCAGGCUGGCGAUGAAACACGGGGAGAGGGGCUGGAGGCUGCUGCGAAGCCCUCCCCUGCCUCGCAGCGGGACCAGGGACCCGGGACCACCUCGGGGGCGCGCAGCUCCGUAAAAUAUGAGGCCAGCGGAAAACGUGCGAUUAGCAGGCAGACAGGCGGGGACGGCCAGCCCUGCGCGCACACACACAGCCCGCAGCUCCGGCUCCGCGCCGUGUAAUCCCAGCGCUCAGCCCCGCUGCACCCCCUCAUUAAAAACCCGGAGAUUUCCUCCUCCUCCUCCUCCUCCUCCUCUGCUCUCCGAGGAAAACAACGCCUGCCACGGCCCCAACCCGGGCAGCUCCGCCCGGGGGCCCCGCGCUCCGUGCCGCGCCGUGCCGUGCCCGACGGGCCGCCCGCUCCCCGCCCGCUCCCCUGCCUCCCAGGGGGCCGCCCCCGGGGGGGCACCGGCUGCAGCCCCCCCCCCACCCCCCCACCCCCCCCUCGGCCGCCUCCCUUUCUCCGGGCGCGGUCGGGGGGCGCCGCAGCUCCGGGCGCCGGGGAGCUCCGGGCUCCCCCGGGGGCCAGGCGGUACCGCGGCGGAGCCGGGCCCCGGCGCCCCCGGGGCCGAUGAAGGGCGCUUUAUUCCGCAGCGCUCAAAACCCCUCAUUGUGUCGGGCAGAAUCACCUGCCUCCUCCUCCGGAGCCAGGCGAUUCAUUUAAUGCGAUACACAGCGCGCUCCGUCCCGGCCCCUCCUCGGCUCGGGGAGAGCUCCGCGGUGCGCUCUCCACGGAGCGCGGAGGAGGGGCGCGGCACGGCACGGCACGGCACGGCACGGCACGGCACGGCACGGCACGGCACGGCACGGCUCGGCACGGCUCGGCACGGCUCGGCACGGCUGGCCGGCAUCCUCCCAGCGCCGUCUCUGCCGGCGGCACCCCGGGGAAGCCUUCCCCGCCCGGCAGCUCCGCUCGCAGC
rnacentral:lncRNA from 1 species